AUAUAUUUGAGAGACUUUAGAGAAACAAGAAUGUAGUUCGCGUCUGGCGGAGGGUGCUUGCACCUAGCUAGAGGUGAGAGCACCACUGUCAGAUAAUGGAAAGACUGAGUUAGAAAAGGAGAAAGACGACGGAGUUGCAGUCUGAAACUACAGGAAGUUCAAGUUCGUGCGGCAACGGCACAGCUUUCUGCUUUGAGAAUGGUGAUGCAGUUCUGAAGCAGUUAUCUCUAGGACAGGGCUUGGAUCAGAUCUGCUUUGACUUUGGAAUCUUGCUGGCGUUGUUCUUCGCCUUCUUCAUUUCCGGACUUCUGAUACUGGUGUUGCGUAUCCGCUACAUCAAGCGCUAAUGUCUGCCAGGCGCAAUGCGUUGACGUGUCACUCUGAGGUGCUAAACCUGACUUGAUGAUGGUGUUGUUCUAGUGUUGAGAUGAUUCAGUAUUCCGCUAUGUUUGUCAGUGUCUUUCAUGUUGCUAUUUUGUUAGUCAUACCGCCCAUAUACACUCGUUAAUGUCAACUUCAGUAGUGGACAUUCCCAGACAAGUAUUCUGCCUGUCAUGUGUGUGUGUGUGUGUGUGUGUGUGUGUGUGUGUGUGUGUGUGUGUGUGUGUGUGUAUGUGUGUGUGUGUGUGCGUGUGUGUGUCUGUGUGUGUGUGUUUGUGUGCGUGUAUGUGUGUGUGUGUUUGUGUGUGUGUGUAGCAUUAUGGUGAUAAUGCAGAUAAAUGGGUGCACGCAGCUUUAUGCUACCGCUCAAUCUAUGCUGCUAUGUUUAAUAGUGCUGUUACUGCAUGCUCAUGCUUUGCUGCUGGCUACAGUCGCAUGCUCAUGCUUUGCUGCUGGCUACGGUCGCGUGCUCAUGCUUUGCUGCUGGCUACGGUCUCGUGCUCAUGCUUUGCUGCUGACUACGGUCUCGUGCUCAUGCUUUGCUGCUGGCUACGGUCGCGUGCUCAUGCUUUGCUGCUGGCUACGGUCGCGUGCUCAUGCUUUGCUGCUGGCUACGGUCUCGUGCUCAUGCUUUGCUGCUGGCUACGGUCUCAUGCUCAUGCUUUGCUGCUGGCUACGGUCGCGUGCUCAUGCUUUGCUGUUGGCUACGGUCACGUGCUCAUGCUUUGCUGCUGGCUACGGCCGCGUGCUCAUGCUUUGCUGCUGGCUACGGUCGCGUGCUCAUGCUUUGCUGCUGGCUACGGUCUCAUGCUCAUGCUUUGCUGCUGGCUACGGUCGCGUGCUCAUGCUUUGCUGCUGGCUACGAUCUCAUGCUCAUGCUUUGCUGCUGGCUACGGUCGCGUGCUCUUGCUUUGCUGCUGGCUACGGUCGCGUGCUCAUGCUUUGCUGUUGGCUACGGUCACGUGCUCAUGCUUUGCUGCUGGCUACGGUCGCGUGCUCAUGUUUUGCUGCUGGCUACGGUCGCGUGCUCAUGCUUUGCUGGCUACGGUCUCAUGCUCAUGCUUUGCUGGUGGCUACGGUCGCCUGCUCAUGCUUUGCUGCUGGCUACGGGCGCGUGCCCAUGCUUUGCUGCUGGCUACGGUCACGUGCUCAUGCUUUGCUGCUGGCUACGGUCGCGUGCUCAUGCUCUGCUGCUGGCUACGGUCGCGUGCUCAUGCUUUGCUGCUGGCUACGGUCGCGUGCUCAUGCUUUGCUGCUGGCUACGGUCGCGUGCUCAUGCUUUGCUGCUGGCUACGGUCGCGUGCUCAUGCUUUGCUGCUGGCUACGGUCGCGUGCUCAUGCUUUGCUGCUGGCUACGGUCGCGUGCUCAUGCUUUGCUGCUGGCUACGGUCUCGUGCUCAUGCUUUGCUGCUGGCUACGGUCGCGUGCUCUGCACAUCAUGGUGUGGUACUCUGUGCGGCUUGGCGCUCUGCGUUAUAUUGA